ensembl:processed_transcript predicted gene, 28039
UCCCAACGUCGCCCCGGUUUGACGCACACGGCACCAAACUCCAUAGAUUGUAAGCAGAAGAAAUCAAGGUCAAGAUCUGGAAGCAAGAAGAAAAUGCUAACGUUGCCUCAUGGUGCUGACGAGGUUUACAUUCUCCGAUGCAGGCUUCUAAUGUGAGGAAAAACAUGGAAUGACAAGUGUGGGAAAGAGCAAGCACUAAAUUACUGUCAGAAAAAUAAACGGAGCAGCACAGUGGUGCUCCGUGAUUUACGGGG